rnacentral:rRNA from 1 species
UACGGAGGGGGCAAGCGUUGUUCGGAAUUACUGGGCGUAAAGGGUUUGUAGGUGGCUUGUUAAGUCAGACGUGAAAUCCCUCAGCUUAACUGGGGAACUGCGUCUGAUACUGGCGAGCUUGAGUGCAGGAGAGGAACGCGGAAUUCCAGGUGUAGCGGUGAAAUGCGUAGAUAUCUGGAGGAACACCGGUGGCGAAGGCGGCGUUCUGGACUGCAACUGACACUGAGAAACGAAAGCCAGGGGAGCAAACGGG